GAUGAAGAACGUAGCGAAAUGCGAUAAGUAGUGUGAAUUGCAGAAUUCAGUGAAUCAUCGAAUCUUUGAACGCACAUUGCGCCCCUUGGUAUUCCAUGGGGCAUGCCUGUCCGAGCGUCAUUGCUGCCCUCAAGCACGGCUUGUGUGUUGGGCCCCGUCCUCCGAUCCCGGGGGACGGGCCCGAAAGGCAGCGGCGGCACCGCGUCCGGUCCUCGAGCGUAUGGGGCUUUGUCACCCGCUCUGUAGGCCCGGCCGGCGCUUGCCGAUCAACCCAAAUUUUUAUCCAGGUUGACCUCGGAUCAGGUAGGGAUACCCGCUGAACUUAAGCAUAUCAAUAAGCGGAGGA
rnacentral:misc_RNA from 1 species